rnacentral:rRNA from 1 species
AUACGUAGGUGGCAAGCGUUGUCCGGAAUUAUUGGGUGUAAAGGGCGUGUAGGUGGAUUUUUAAGUCGUGUGUCUAAGUGCGGGGCUCAACCCCGUAUAGGCGCAGGAAACUGGAAAUCUUGAGUGCAGGAGAGGAAAGUGGAAUUCCCAGUGUAGCGGUGAAAUGCGUAGAUAUUGGGAGGAACACCAGUGGCGAAGGCGACUUUCUGGACUGUGUCUGACACUGAGGCGACGAAAGCCAGGGGAGC